CACGGCUACAUGGGAGCAAUCCCUAAUACCAGCCCAAAGUUACCAAGUUCUUUGUCCUGGUUUCCCUUUAAUACGUGUUAUGAAUUAGAAAAACCCUCUCAACAUAUUAAUAAAGCCACUGCUUCAGUCUGCUGGGCUUUACGUUUUAACACUACUACAUACUGUAUACUAUGCUUUGUGUAUUUGAUGCAAACUAUAAAUGUAUAUUCUAAUGCAUACAACAUUCUUAUAUUGCGUACUAUACAGUUUAAAUAUUUAAGGUGAAAAGGCCACGUUUACUCCUGGAUUUUUCCCAGCUGCACGGAAAGCAGCUCAUACCUAAUGCUUCAUUACUGUGAUCAAUAUCAGUAAUGCAACUCACCAAAGACACCAUGAUUGCCUUCAAUUUUCAGGAUGUUGCCCUCAGUGGACAGUGCUUGGGAUAUUUCCACGAGCUCACAGUGUUUUCUGUCUGCUCUAGAAACACACAGCUCUCUGUUUAGAACAGCUGAAGAGAACAAGCUCUGAAGCACCAGUGCUUUCUCAGAA